AAUAAGUGCAGUUUUGCACUAUUCAUGUUCAACGUUUGACCGUCCGUCUUAUUUGAAAAUUUUUUAUGAUUAGUAUUUUUAUUGCUAUUAGAUGAUAAAACAUGAAUAGUACUUUAUGUGUGACUAAAUGUUUUUAAUUUGUUCACAAAUUUUUCAAAUAAGACGGACGGUCAAACGUUGAACGUGAACAGUGCAAAACUGCACUUAUU
rnacentral:pre_miRNA from 1 species